GCAAAUCAUUCAGCGACAAGACCUGUAAAACCAAAAAAAAAA
rnacentral:sRNA from 1 species